rnacentral:lncRNA from 1 species
AAAUUACAGACAGCAGACCAUGGGACUUCUCCGCCUCCAUAAUCAUAGCUGGACUGCAGUGCUGUACCUUGCCAGCAGAGAAGGCUGUCUAGCACACAUCAGCCUGAAACCAGGAGAGACUCAGGCUUGGAUGUAGCACCAUCCAGCCUCAUCCUGGGUACUGAGGAUCCCAACACCGAGCUUCCUAGCUCGCCAGCUCCAGAGUGGUCUCAGCCUGCGAGCAUCCACUCAGGAGUCAGACCUGGAUUUCCUGCUGUGGAACCUAAAACAAGUUACUUAAUCUCUCUGAGCCAGUGUACUUCACUAGAGUUAGAGUCAACAAAUCCACCUUUGUGGAGUUGUUACCAGGGCAGUAUUUAUCAGAGUUUGGCAGCCAAGGCACAUGGGCCAAAUUUAUC